UACGUAGGGUGCAAGCGUUUAUCCGGAAUUAUUGGGCGUAAAGAGCUCGUAGGUGGUUUGUUACGUCUGCUGUGAAAAUCCGGGGCUCAACCCCGGACUUGCAGUGGGUACGGGCAGACUAGAGUGCGGUAGGGGAGAUUGGAAUUCCUGGUGUAGCGGUGGAAUGCGCAGAUAUCAGGAGGAACACCGAUGGCGAAGGCAGAUCUCUGGGCAGUAACUGACGCUGAGGAGCGAAAGCGUGGGGAGCGAACAGG
rnacentral:rRNA from 1 species